rnacentral:rRNA from 1 species
GAUAAACGCUGGCGGCGUGCUUAACACAUGCAAGUCGAACGAUGUUUUUCUUUCUGGGUGAACUUAGUGGCGGACGGGUGAGUAACUCGUGGGUAACCUGCCCUGUACAGGGGGACAACAGCUGGAAACGGCUGCUAAUACCGCAUAAGCCCUUAGCACUGCAUGGUGCAUAGGGAGAAGGAGCAGUCCGGUACAGGAUGGAUCCGCGUCUGAUUAGCCAGUUGGCAGGGUAACGGCCUACCAAAGCGACGAUCAGUAGCCGAUCUGAGAGGAUGUACGGCAACAUUGGGACUGAGACACGGCGCAGACUCCUACGGGAGGCAGCAGUGGGGAAUAUUGCAAAAUGGAGGAAACUCUGAUGCAGCGACGCCGCGUGAGUGAAGAAGUAUUUCGGUAUGUAAAGCUCUAUCAGCAGGAAAGAAAAUGACGGUACCUGACAAAGAAGCACCGGCUAAAUACGUG